ACAUACAGUGUCAUCCCUCCGCCUCUUCUGCCCUGCAUAUCCCUCCUGAAGAGCCUGUAACUGUCCAACGGGGCACUCCAGUCAUAGGACUCAUCCCAUCAGGGGAACCAGGCAGAGGUUACAGAUCAAUACAAGCUACCUAAAGUCUAAACAGAGACCAAGACACAGCCUUCCCACACAAAACACCUUCAAACAACCCAGCUCUGGCUCUUGUUGCCUCCAGUGGAGCUGCUGGAUAUUCAAAUGCUUGGGAAGACAGCUUAUAUUCAAGUAGCCAGUGAUGGAUUUAAGUGCUUUGCUCUAUGUUUGCAGUUGGAUUUUCACAUGCUGCUUUCUUUCCUGAGAUGUGCUGGGGCUACAGGGAACUCUUUUUAAAUGGGCGUAGAAAUGGUAAACACAAGUGGAAGAAGGGCUUCUGCCCCACAGACUCCAGUCUCCUGUUUCUACCUCUUCUAGCCGCCUCCUUUGCUCCUUCUGCUGCUCGAUGCGCUUUUGCCUCUCUGCCAGCAGCUGCCUCUUGUACUCCUCCUGUUCACGGAGCUGCUGCUCCUGCAGCAGCUGCUGUCUCCGAAGGGCCUCAGACCGUUCCUUGUUUUCCUGCUGCAGUCUCAGGAAAUCACGUCGGAGGGUUGAUUCUCCAGGCACAUUGACAAUGGAACUGCAACAAGAGGAAGUUAAAGCCUCCAGUACAAAAGAGCCUGAUGAGCCAUUACAUACCUUUUCCAAGCAGGAAAUUUUUAUUAAAAUAUUUAAUAAAAUAUAUCAUGAUGUUAAA